rnacentral:rRNA from 1 species
UCCGAUUCCUACGGGAGGCAGCAGUGAGGAAUAUUGCGCAAUGGGCGAAAGCCUGACGCAGCGACGCCGCGUGGAGGAUGAAGGUCUUAGGAUUGUAAACUUCUGUUAAGUGGGAAGAAAAGCGAAGCCUUAAUACGGCUUUGAAAUGACGGUACCGCUAGAGAAAGCACCGGCUAACUUCGUGCCAGCAGCCGCGGUAAUACGAAGGGUGCAAACGUUAUUCGGAUUUAUUGGGCGUAAAGGGUACGCAGGCGGUACGUUAAGUCAACUGUUAAAUCUCCUGGCUUAACCGGGAAUCAGCGGUAGAUACUGGCGCACUAGAGGAUGGAAGAGAGAAGUGGAAUCCUUGGAGUAGAGGUAAAAUUCGUAGAUCUCAAGAGGAACACCGAUGGUGAAGGCAGCUUCUUGGUCCAUUUCUGACGCUCAGGUACGAAAGCGUGGGGAGCAAACAGGAUUAGAUACCCUGGUAGUCCACGCUGUAAACGAUGAUCACUAGACGUUGGUUCUGCUCUGCAGAAUUAGUGUCGCAGCUAACGCGGUAAGUGAUCCGCCUGGGGACUACGGUCGCAAGAUUAAAACUCAAAGGAAUUGACGGGGGUCCGCACAAGCGGUGGAACAUGUGGUUUAAUUCGACACUACGCGAGGAACCUUACCUAGGUUUGACAUGUAUAUGACCGCUCCAGAAACGGAGUUUUCUCGCGGAAACCAGAGACAUAUACACAGGUGCUGCAUGGCUGUCGUCAGCUCGUGUCGUGAGAUGUAGGGUUAAGUCCUAUAACGAGCGCAACCCCUACUAUCAGUUGCUACUUCGUAAGAAGGCACUCUGAUGGGACUGCCUGGGAAACCAGGAGGAAGGUGGGGAUGAUGUCAAGUCCGCAUGGUCCUUAUGCCUAGGGCAACACACGUGUUACAAUGGCCAGUACAAAGGGCUGCAAUCUCGCAAGAGGGAGCUAAUCCCAGAAAGCUGGUCUAAGUUCGGAUUGAGGUCUGCAACUCGACCUCAUGAAGUUGAAAUCGCUAGUAAUCGCGUAUCAGAUCGACGCGGUGAAUACGUUCUCGGGCCUUGUACACACCGC